rnacentral:snoRNA from 1 species
AAUCCAUGGUUUGGACAUCUUUUAAGUAGCAUUUUGAAGCGCUCCCAAGCUUCACAUAAAGGUUCAUCUAGUCCUUGCCUAAAUGUAGACAUAUCAUAUUUGAUCCG